AGGGCUUGACAUCCUGCUGACAGGACCUUAACCGGUCCCUUCUUCGGACAGCAGAGACAGGUGGUGCAUGGUUGUCGUCAGCUCGUGUCGUGAGAUGUUGGGUUAAGUCCCGCAACGAGCGCAACCCUUGUCGCUAGUUACUAACAUUCAGUUGAGGACUCUAGCGAGACUGCCGAGGUCAACUCGGAGGAAGGUGGGGAUGACGUCAAAUCAUCAUGCCCCUUAUGUUCUGGGCUACACACGUGCUACAAUGGUCGGUACAAUGAGAGGCAAUACUGUGAAGUGGAGCAAAUCACCAAAACCGAUCCCAGUUCGGAUUGUAGGCUGCAACUCGCCUACAUGAAGUUGGAGUUGCUAGUAAUCGCAGAUCAGAAUGCUGCGGUGAAUGCGUUCCCGGGUC
rnacentral:rRNA from 1 species